GCUGUGAUGGCUGAAUGGUUAAGGUGUUGGACUCGAAAUCCAAUGGGGUUUUCCCGCGCAGGUUUAAAUCCUGCUCACAGCG